CCUACGGGCGGCAGCAGUGAGGAAUAUUGGUCAAUGGACGAGAGUCUGAACCAGCCAAGCAGCGUGAAGGAUGACUGCCCUAUGGGUUGUAAACUUCUUUUAUAUGGGAAUAAAAUGUUCCACGUGUGGGAUUUUGUAUGUACCAUAUGAAUAAGGAUCGGCUAACUCCGUGCCAGCAGCCGCGGUAAUACGGAGGAUCCGAGCGUUAUCCGGAUUUAUUGGGUUUAAAGGGAGCGUAGGUGGAUUGUUAAGUCAGUUGUGAAAGUUUGCGGCUCAACCGUGAAAUUGCAGUUGAGACUGGCAGUCUAGAGUACAGUAGAGGUGGGCGGAAUGCGUGGUGUAGCGGUGAAAUGCUUAGAUAGCACGAAGAACACCGAUUGCGAAGGCAGCUCACUGAACUACAACUGACGCUGAGGCUCGAAAGUGUGGGUAUCAAACAGGAUUAGAUACCCCAGUAGUC
rnacentral:rRNA from 1 species